AUGGAGGAUUUUGUGUCAUGGCACUAUAAUAAGAAUCAAAUUUUUACGGUAAAGUCUGCUUAUUAUAUUGAAUGGGAUAAUCAGCAUGGUCGAAAACUACGGAUGACAAGGCCUAAUAAUUCUUGGUCGACCAACCCUAUCUGGAGAGCUUUGUGGGCCUUGAAAACACCUGUUAAGGUGAAGAUACAUUGUUGGCAUGCUUUAUAUGGGGCGAUUCCUUCCUAUGGCGGCCUUGCAAAUCGGCAUAUGCAGAAUUUUAGCCAAUGCCCUAUAUGUUCAGUGGACUGUGAAAGUAUGAAUCAUGUCUUCUUCAAAUGUGGUAGAAUAAAGGAAAUUUGGUCAUGCCUUGGAAUGACACAAAUUAUUGAAGACGCUUGCCUUGAAGUGGCUGAUGGAAUUGGGCCUCUCGAGCGACUGCUAAUGGAUGAGAAUGUUGCACCGUAUAUGGUAGGUGUUUGAAGGUGUGAUCUAGUCGUUGUUGUUGCCUGAGUUAACAAAUUGAGUAGUGCUCAGAUUGUUAGACAAGGAUGGAUUAAACCACUUGAAGAUUUUUUAAAUCUGAAUGUUGACGCUGCCUUCGACAAGGACACUAGCUCGGGAUGGACAUGCACAUUCGUCCGGGAUCAUCAUGUUGUUCCUGUCAUAGGAGGAAGCUGGAACCUCCCAUUUGUUGAUGAUGCCCCCAGUGGCUGA
rnacentral:rRNA from 1 species